rnacentral:rRNA from 1 species
AGCUCCAAUAGCGUAUAUUAAAGUUGUUGCAGUUAAAAAGCUCGUAGUUGGAUUUGUGGACGUCGCGAUUGGCCCAGGAUUCGUUCUGGUGCUUGAUUGCGUCUCCAUCUUAAUGGUUAGCCUGUGGGCUAUUAACUUAGCUCGCUUGUGAUCCAUUUCGUUUACUGUGAGAAAAUUAGAGUGCUCCAAGCAGUCGUUUGACUUGAAUACUUUAGCAUGGAAUAAUAAGAUAGGACCUUGGUACUAUUUUGUUGGUUUGCGCACCAAGGUAAUGAUUAAUAGGGACAGUUGGGGGUAUUCGUAUUUCAUUGUCAGAGGUGAAAUUCUUGGAUUUUUGAAAGACGAACUACUGCGAAAGCAUUUACCAAGGAUGUUUUCAUUAAUCAAGAACGAAAGUACG